ACUGCUACUAGUUAGUUAAUGACACUAGCAGUACAAGCAAAAAAAGACACCCCACCUGCUCAUAAAUUUCCAAGCAGCCUAAGGAAAGUAUAUGCAAAUUUGUGGUAUAAAUAGGAUGUUAUAAACAACGCUUCUCAUUCCAAAAUUAUAUGUAUAUUUUUCUUUGAUACAAACUAUAUAUUGUGCAAGCAAAGAUGGUGAGAAAGGAAACUGUAUCUGUGGCUUUCAUGGCUAGCCUCCUCUUGGUGGCAUCCUUCACCAUUUGUGCACAUGCAACUGAAGGUCCCCGUAUGCUGGCAUCUGAGAAAGUGUAUUAUCCUCAAGGUUGUCGCUGCUGCUUCUUUGUCGGAAGGAUACCAAACAUGCGCUGUGGAAAAGCAUGCUGCACUAGCAUUAGAGGAGAGAACUGCUGCAUCGGAACAUAAAAGACAAUAAGGCGUGAAUGUGGCAUAAUCCGUGUGUGAGUCUUGUGUUGCAGACCAAAAUAAAUUAUAAUAUAAGCUGCAAAUAAUUGAAGUAUUGGAGCAUCAUUCUGCAAGCUGCAGAAGUUCUUCAAUAUUCUUCUUCCUAUUAUAAACGAGAGGGCUCCGGCAUUUGUAAUUUUAUCAGUAUCCUGUAAUAAAAGGAUUUACCUUUGCAGUGUAUUAUCCUAUCCUGUAAUAAAAGGAUUUACCUUUGCAGUG